rnacentral:rRNA from 1 species
AUACGGAGGGUCCAAGCGUUGUUCGGAAUUACUGGGCGUAAAGCGCGUGUAGGCGGCCUCCUCAGUCUGGUGUGAAAGCCCGGGGCUCACCCCCGGAAGGGCAUUGGAUACUGGGAGGCUGGAGUACCGGAGAGGAGGGUGGAAUUCCUGGUGUAGCGGUGAAAUGCGUAGAUAUCAGGAGGAACACCGGUGGCGAAGGCGGCCCUCUGGACGGAUACUGACGCUGAGACGCGACAGCGUGGGGAGCAAACAGGAUUAGAAACCCCAGUAGUCC